UACAGAGGUCCCAAGCGUUGUUCGGAUUCACUGGGCGUAAAGGGCGUGCAGGCGGUCUGUUAAGUGCAGGGUGAAAGCUCCCGGCUCAACUGGGAGAGGUCCUUGCAUACUGGCGGACUUGAGGGGGGUAGAGGAAAGUGGAAUUCCCGGUGUAGUGGUGAUAUGCGUAGAUAUCGGGAGGAACACCUGUGGCGAAGGCGGCUUUCUGGGCCCUACCUGACGCUGAGACGCGAAAGCGUGGGGAGCGAACCGG
rnacentral:rRNA from 1 species